AGGUUGGUGCAGAAGCAUUUUCUUUAUAGGUGAAGAUUAUCUGAUAUGCGAUUAAUGCUAGGGGAAAACUGUAACCAACAUACCGCCAAUUGUACUUGGAAUACCGCGUACUGAGGCAAUUUUUAGAGGAUACAAUUAUU